rnacentral:rRNA from 1 species
GAUGAACGCUGGCGGCGUGCCUAAUACAUGCAAGUCGAGCGAACAGACGAGGAGCUUGCUCCUCUGACGUUAGCGGCGGACGGGUGAGUAACACGUGGAUAACCUACCUAUAAGACUGGGAUAACUUCGGGAAACCGGAGCUAAUACCGGAUAAUAUAUUGAACCGCAUGGUUCAAUAGUGAAAGACGGUUUUGCUGUCACUUAUAGAUGGAUCCGCGCCGCAUUAGCUAGUUGGUAAGGUAACGGCUUACCAAGGCAACGAUGCGUAGCCGACCUGAGAGGGUGAUCGGCCACACUGGAACUGAGACACGGUCCAGACUCCUACGGGAGGCAGCAGUAGGGAAUCUUCCGCAAUGGGCGAAAGCCUGACGGAGCAACGUCGCGUGAGUGAUGAAGGUCUUCGGAUCGUAAAACUCUGUUAUUAGGAAAGAACAAAUGUGUAAGUAACUAUGCACGUCUUGACGGUACCUAAUCAGAAAGCCACGGCUAACUACGUG